CCGCCGGAAGCUCAAUUGGAUGAGCAACGGCCUCUUAAGCCGGAGGGUACAGGUUCGAUCCCUGUGCGGCGGA
rnacentral:tRNA from 1 species